rnacentral:rRNA from 1 species
UGAAUACGAGAUGCUACGGCGUCGAAGCAGUCUAUGUCAUACUUCCAAGAAAAGCUUGCACUGUCAUAAACAAAUAAUGCCUGUACCAUAACCGACACAGGUGGGUAGGUAGAGUAUACUAAGGGGCGCGAGAUAACUCUCUCUAAGGAACUCGGCAAAAUGACUCCGUAACUUCGGGAGAAGGAGUGCCUUAUUUAUAAGGUUGCAAUAACAAGAUCCAAGCAACUGUUUACCAAAAACACAGGUCUCCGCUAAGUCGUAAGACGAUGUAUGGGGGCUGACGCCUACCCAGUGCCAGAAGGUUAAAGAAGUUGGUUAGCAUCCGCGAAGCUGAUAACUGAAGCCCUGGUGAACGGCGGCCGUAACUAUAACGGUCCUAAGGUAGCGAAAUUCCUUGUCGGGUAAGUUCCGACCCGCACGAAAGGCGUAAUGAUUUGGAUACUGUCUCGGAGAGGGGCUCGGUGAAAUAGACUUGUCUGUGAAGAUGCGGACUACCUGCACCAGGACAGAAAGACCCUAUGAAGCUUUACUGUAACCUGAAAUUGAAAUUGGACUUUACUUGCGCAGUAUAGGUGGGAGGCGUUGAGAAUAUUCUUGCGGGAUUAUUGGAGCCAUCAGUGAGAUACCACUCUUGUAAUGUUAGAUUUCUAACUUUGUAUCAUUAUCUGGUCAAAGAACAGUUUCAGGCGGGCAGUUUGACUGGGGCGGUCGCCUCCUAAACGGUAACGGAGGCGCACAAAGGUUUCCUCUGAACGGGUAGAAAUCGUAUCUAGAGUGUAAAGGCAUAAGGAAGCUUGACUGUGAGACCUACAAGUCGAGCAGGGACGAAAGUCGGUCUUAGUGAUCUGACGGUGCUGAGUGGAAAGGCCGUCACUCAACGGAUAAAAGUUACUCUAAGGAUAACAGGCUGAUCUCCCCCAAGAGUUCACAUCGACGGGGAGGUUUGGCACCUCGAUGUCGGCUCAUCGCAUCCUGGGGCGGUAGUACGUCCCAAGGGUUGGGCUGUUCGCCCAUGAAAGCGGUACGCGAGCUGGGUUCAGAACGUCGUGAGACAGUUCGGUCCAUAUCCGGUGUAGGCGUUAGAAUAUUGAGAGGAGCCUUCUUUAGUACGAGAGGACCGAGAAGGACAUACCUCUGGUGUACCAGUUAUCGUGCCAACGGUAAACGCUGGGUAGCUAUGUGUGGAGUGGAUAACCGCUGAAAGCAUCUAAGUGGGAAGCCCACCUCAAGAUAAGUAUUCUCAUC